CCAAGUUUCAGAAACAGCAAAAAUAUCUAGUUUGUGUUCGAUAACAAGAGGCGAAAUAUCGAAAAAUUACGUGGACCGGGGUUAAUUUCAACAUCUCCAGACAAUAGAAUUAACAAAACUAAAUAAGCUAAGUGGCAUACCGCCACCUUAUCUUCAAUACAUAAAAAUUGACUAAUAAGAGUCCAAAUAGCUGCUCUAUGCAUUAUCAAACUAGGCUCCAUUGGGAUUAAAAUACCAAUAUAAACUUACCUCGGGCUGCUCAAUAGUUAAACAAUUAGAUACAAGAAAAAUAAACACAAUAAAGGACAAAGUUAUGAAAAAGC